GAUGAACGCUGGCGGCGUGCCUAAUACAUGCAAGUCGAGCGAACGGACGAGAAGCUUGCUUCUCUGAUGUUAGCGGCGGACGGGUGAGUAACACGUGGAUAACCUACCUAUAAGACUGGGAUAACUUCGGGAAACCGGAGCUAAUACCUGAUAAUAUUGUGAAACACAUGGUUCAAAAGUGAAAGACGGUCUUGCUGUCACUUAUAGAUGGAUCCGCGCUGCAUUAGCUAGUUGGUAAGGUAACGGCCUACCAAGGCAACGAUCCAUAGCCGACCUGAGAGGGUGAUCGGCCACACUGGAACUGAGACACGGUCCAGACUCCUACGGGAGGCAGCAGUAGGGAAUCUUCCGCAAUGGGCGAAAGCCUGACGGAGCAACGCCGCGUGAGUGAUGAAGGUCUUCGGAUCGUAAAACUCUGUUAUUCGGGAAGAACAUAUGUGUAAGUAACUGUGCACAGCUUGACGGUACCUAAUCAGAAAGCAACGGCUAACUACGUG
rnacentral:rRNA from 1 species